rnacentral:lncRNA from 1 species
ACAAAAGUUUGCUCAAAUAUUACUAGGUGGUGGGUAACCAAAUAAUAAUAUAUAGUGUGUAUAAUAUUUUACAACUCUGCUUUGUGUUAGUACAAAACUCCGGUAAGGAAAAAACUCGAACAUACGAUCGGAACUCGAAAAGAAAAAGAAAAAAUAGGACAGGCUCCAAGGCGUGUAUCAAGCCACUAUCUUUAAGGUUAUAUUCGCCCCCACUUAUCUUCAGUGUGCAAACGAGUUCCAAGCAAAUUAACCUCGAGGAUACAAUGAAGCCAAUGACUAUUUGCGUUUUGCACUGACGAGAAUAGUCCACUAUGCACUGAGUAAUGUAUAACAAAAAUUCAAUUUC